UACGUAGGGGGCAAGCGUUAUCCGGAUUUACUGGGUGUAAAGGGAGCGUAGACGGCAGCGCAAGUCUGGAGUGAAAUGCCGGGGCCCAACCCCGGAACUGCUUUGGAAACUGUGCAGCUCGAGUGCAGGAGAGGUAAGCGGAAUUCCUAGUGUAGCGGUGAAAUGCGUAGAUAUUAGGAGGAACACCUGUGGCGAAGGCGGCUUACUGGACUGUAACUGACGUUGAGGUUCGAAAGCGUGGGGAGCGAACAGG
rnacentral:rRNA from 1 species